rnacentral:pre_miRNA from 1 species
AAUGGAAUUGCUGGGUCAUAUGGUAAGUGAUGUGUAUUUUUUAAAUUAUCACACUUUUUUCCAAAGUGAUUGUACCAUUUUACAUUCUCACCAGCAGU